rnacentral:lncRNA from 1 species
CCGAUCUCGUGAAGGUAAGAUACUGGAGAGCACUAACAAGCUGACGAUAGAUAUAGGGAUCGUCAAGGGGACGUCCCUCAUGAGACGAGAGGCGAGAGGUCAGAGAGAGAGGACUAGAAACAGGCUUAUUAUCAAGAAAGUCAUGGCGCUGAAGUAGUUGAUGCGCAUAUUUGUGUUGAGUCAGAUGAAGACCAGAAUAAGACAGAGUAACCUCAAUGCCCAAGAAAUUGUGAGGACUGAGAUUUUUGCAGUGUAGCUAAACUCUCAGUUGACGAUGUUUUUGUGUGUAAUUUAAUUACAAAAGCACUCGUCAAGUUUCGGGCGAAAUCGAGUUAAAACGGAAAUUCUACGCGAUUUCCAAGUUUCACUUAAAGUGAAUAGUAACUCGAUUUUCCGGAGAAGCCGCGGUGAGAAGUUGGCUUCUGGCUCGUACCGGACUCUGUUCAUAGCAGUCCAAUAGCUCGUUUCGACCGGGUCAGCUGUUCUGGAACUAAUGACGAUGACGGAUUUUGAGUUUGACGCACGGAUUUCGAGAAAAUCUAAAAAUACAUGUUUUAUAUGUAUUUAUGUGUGUGUUUCCUUCUAUUCGAAGAAGGUUGGAUUUUGUCGUGAAUCCGUGGUCGAUCUAGAUGAAACGAAAUCGUAGCUUUGUUGUCUCCGAGGUGCUGAUCGCACCGGUGCAAUCCGUUCGCAAAUCUGACGGACGGAUCUGUGGAGAUCGCGCGUUGAUCGAGGAGGGGUCGGUAGUGGCAAAACGGUAUUUUCGCGAAAGUCGCGAUAUUUUAUGUAUCGUUUCGCGAGGGAUCGCACGUGGAGGGUCGUUCACGCGUUUUAGUCGUUCGGUGAAGGGCUCGGAUUGAAAUUCCGAUGUUUGGUGGACCUUUUUGCGAGUUGCGCCUUGUAUAUAAGCUUGUUCUAGGGUUUUUAUCCCCUAACCCUAACCCUAGCCAGCCCCCAGCUACCCUAGUCGCCCCAGCCACCUUCUCCCUUCCCCUUGCCCUCGCUGCACCAUCCCCGGCCGCCGCCGGCUGAGCCCCGGCCGCCGCCGAGCCACCUUCUUUCCUCCCUCUCCCUCUCUUUCUCUCUCCCUCUCUCCUCUCGGGUUGUGUGGUGGCCCGGGGCUGCGCCCCCUGCAGACCCUCCCCCGGGACCGCACCGUGCUCCGGCCACCUUCCCCGCCGACCGCCGCCGUCGCCGGGGGCCGCCGCUGCUGCUCCUGCGGCCUGCUGCAACCCAGGCCGAGCCUGGCCGAGCAGGGUUGCAGCUGCUGCCAGCGCGCCGCCACCGCUUGGAAACCGUCCCNNNNNNNNNNNNNNNNNNNNNNNNNNNNNNNNNNNNNNNNNNNNNNNNNNNNNNNNNNNNNNNNNNNNNNNNNNNNNNNNNNNNNNNNNNNNNNNNNNNNUUUAGACGAUUUUUGGUGCUUUGGCUUUUACUCGGUUAAAAUUUUUUUUUUUUAGGAAAGGUAUUUGGGUAUUUCAAAAAUCUUUGAGAAAGGAGAUGAUUGAGAAUCUUUAUUUUGAGGAGAGUUUUUUUUUAAACGGGUUUAACUUCACAAUCAUAUUAAGUUAAAUUCAUAUUAAUUAUCGUCUUUACUCCACUAGUUAUUAUUUUGACGAUAAAUUAAUAUAUGAUUUCUUAAUGCAUAAAUUCAUCAAAAUUUUGAAAUCAAAUUUGAUUUUUUGGUGAUUAAUUCAUCUUGGUUGUAAGUGUUGGAUAUGAUGAAUGGGUAUUCUCUAAUUGACUAAAAUUCGUCAAAAUUAUUUUCAAUUGUGAGAUUGNNNNNNNNNNNNNNNNNNNNNNNNNNNNNNNNNNNNNNNNNNNNNNNNNNNNNNNNNNNNNNNNNNNNNNNNNNNNNNNNNNNNNNNNNNNNNNNNNNNNNNNNNNNNNNNNNNNNNNNNNNNNNNNNNNNNNNNNNNNNNNNNNNNNNNNNNNNNNNNNNNNNNNNNNNNNNNNNNNNNNNNNNNNNNNNNNNNNNNNNNNNNNNNNNNNNNNNNNNNNNNNNNNNNNNNNNNNNNNNNNNNNNNNNNNNNNNNNNNNNNNNNNNNNNNNNNNNNNNNNNNNNNNNNNNNNNNNNNNNNNNNNNNNNNNNNNNNNNNNNNNNNNNNNNNNNNNNNNNNNNNNNNNNNNNNNNNNNNNNNNNNNNNNNNNNNNNNNNNNNNNNNNNNNNNNNNNNNNNNNNNNNNNNNNNNNNNNNNNNNNNNNNNNNNNNNNNNNNNNNNNNNNNNNNNNNNNNNNNNNNNNNNNNNNNNNNNNNNNNNNNNNNNNNNNNNNNNNNNNNNNNNNNNNNNNNNNNNNNNNNNNNNNNNNNNNNNNNNNNNNNNNNNNNNNNNNNNNNNNNNNNNNNNNNNNNNNNNNNNNNNNNNNNNNNNNNNNNNNNNNNNNNNNNNNNNNNNNNNNNNNNNNNNNNNNNNNNNNNNNNNNNNNNNNNNNNNNNNNNNNNNNNNNNNNNNNNNNNNNNNNNNNNNNNNNNNNNNNNNNNNNNNNNNNNNNNNNNNNNNNNNNNNNNNNNNNNNNNNNNNNNNNNNNNNNNNNNNNNNNNNNNNNNNNNNNNNNNNNNNNNNNNNNNNNNNNNNNNNNNNNNNNNNNNNNNNNNNNNNNNNNNNNNNNNNNNNNNNNNNNNNNNNNNNNNNNNNNNNNNNNNNNNNNNNNNNNNNNNNNNNNNNNNNNNNNNNNNNNNNNNNNNNNNNNNNNNNNNNNNNNNNNNNNNNNNNNNNNNNNNNNNNNNNNNNNNNNNNNNNNNNNNNNNNNNNNNNNNNNNNNNNNNNNNNNNNNNNNNNNNNNNNNNNNNNNNNNNNNNNNNNNNNNNNNNNNNNNNNNNNNNNNNNNNNNNNNNNNNNNNNNNNNNNNNNNNNNNNNNNNNNNNNNNNNNNNNNNNNNNNNNNNNNNNNNNNNNNNNNNNNNNNNNNNNNNNNNNNNNNNNNNNNNNNNNNNNNNNNNNNNNNNNNNNNNNNNNNNNNNNNNNNNNNNNNNNNNNNNNNNNNNNNNNNNNNNNNNNNNNNNNNNNNNNNNNNNNNNNNNNNNNNNNNNNNNNNNNNNNNNNNNNNNNNNNNNNNNNNNNNNNNNNNNNNNNNNNNNNNNNNNNNNNNNNNNNNNNNNNNNNNNNNNNNNNNNNNNNNNNNNNNNNNNNNNNNNNNNNNNNNNNNNNNNNNNNNNNNNNNNNNNNNNNNNNNNNNNNNNNNNNNNNNNNNNNNNNNNNNNNNNNNNNNNNNNNNNNNNNNNNNNNNNNNNNNNNNNNNNNNNNNNNNNNNNNNNNNNNNNNNNNNNNNNNNNNNNNNNNNNNNNNNNNNNNNNNNNNNNNNNNNNNNNNNNNNNNNNNNNNNNNNNNNNNNNNNNNNNNNNNNNNNNNNNNNNNNNNNNNNNNNNNNNNNNUUGAGCACGUCUUCAGCAAACAAAGGGUUCUCCAGAAGGAGUAGCUAGUUCAGGUACCUCCACUAGAAGCCAGCACGUGAGGGAUCUUCUAGUUCAGGGGGAGUGAUUACUGUCGAAUCACUUCAUCAUGAGGUGCGCUCUAUGAAGAAGAAACUGGCCGAUCUUGCGAGAAAGGUGGAGAUGGGGAUGAAGAGAAUGAUGGAGAAAAUGGGAUGUAGGCAUGAUGAUAUCUUUCCUACUGAGCCUACCUACACUACUUAUACCAGAUCGACUUCACGACAUCCACUCAUUCCACCGUCUGGUGAUGCUCCUGAGGCUGGGGGAUCUGGAGCUGGAGCAGGAGAUGAUGAUGAUGAUGAUGACGAGGACACGGAGUGAUGUCUUCCUCGGGCUUUGUCUUGUUACUUUCUUAUGCUUACUUUCUAGGACGAUGUUUUAGACUUGCUUGCUUAUCUUUCUUUGGCAUGUUUUUAUUUUAGGCCUGUACCUAUGACUAGACUUCUUUUAUGCUUUCUAGUAUGUUUUUUCUCUCUAUUUGCUUUCUUUUGGCAAUUUUUGACAAAAAGGGGGAGAACGUAGAACAGGGGGAGAGCAUGGAUGACAACAGACAAUGAACUAAGCAGAGGAUGAUGAGUUCAAGAUCAAAGGGGGAGAUGUGAUCGAGAUGUGAAGAACAAAGGGGGAGAAGGUAUAAGAAUUUAAGGUUAAUCAUUUUUGGAUGAAUUGUUUCGCAGAAAAUCAAGACUUCAAGACUCCUAGUUGUGUUUAAGUCAUAGAGUUUGUUUAAGGAGUUUUUUUAUGUAAGUUUGAGUUUCAAAUUGUAUUUGGAUUACACGCAAAUUGUAUUUGGAUUACACGCNAGGAUUACAGGCAAUCCUGCCAGGAUAACUAUGUUUGGUUAAUCCGCUAUGUAAUCUAGUCGUUAAUAUAGCAUUACAAAUCGAGCAGGAUUACAUCGAAAAUAUUAACGGGAGGGGGGUCGUGUAUCUUGCAUUACUAAAAUCUGUUAAUACUACAUAUUGUGUAAAAUGACAAUUUUACCCUCCAACAACCCCAAAUCUAAUUAACAGCAUUAUUUUCAUCUCUCUCUUGCCUUCCCCCCGGCCCUCUCUAUCGCACACCACUUUCUCUUGCUCUUUCUCUCGACGUCUCUCUCUCUCUCUCUCUCUCUCUCUCUCUCUCGCACGAACACCUAUCAUCUUCUAUUGCGUCGUCCUCCCAAGUAAUCAUCACGAUCUCCUUCCCUCCAUUCGUCAUUUCCGCAAAAAAUAAUAUUCAAAUGACAACAAUAAGGGCAAUUUUAGAAAAAACUAUACUUUUAUGUCAGGAUUACUAAAUUUUAUAAACUGAACCAAACAUAUUAAUGCUAUAAACACUGUAAUCUAGUAUUACAUUACUGUAUUAAACCAAACGCUCUAAUGCAGCAUCAGUAGUAAUCUCACGCCGAAAUCCAAGAUACCUGGAUAUGUCGAGAUACUUUGCAAUAUUACAUAACUCAAACCAAACGGGCCCUAAGGUUAAUCAUUUUUGGAUGAAUUGUUUUGCAGAAAAUCAAGACUUCAAGACUCCUAGUUGUUUUUAAGUCAUAGAGUUUGUUUAAGGAGUUUUUGAUGUAAGUUUGAGUUUCAAAUUGUAUUUGGAUUACACGCAAAUUGUAUUUGGAUUACACGCGAGGAGUUCAAUGUUUUGGUGAUGACAAUUGAACUUCAUUUUUUCUGUAAAUUGUAAUUUUUGAGUCUGUGUGAGUUUUGUCACGAAAUUGCCAAAGGGAGAGAUUGUUAAGUCGUGUGUGUUGGCAAGUUUCGUGAAGUGAGUCGGAGUCUUGAAGAAUCGGUGCGUGUUGUCGAAGAUCGAAGAAUUCAAGAUUUCGAAGAAGUUGGAAAAUAACUCACACCGUGAAUCACGAUGUCCAGGUAAAGUGUUAAUUCAUGAUUAUGGUGAUUCAUACUUAGUUGUAGACAUUAGAAUCUUAAUAUCAUUGUCUAACGGAUUAGAAAGUGCAUUGGAACUUUGUAAAACCCGAAACGGCGAAAAUUUGCAAAGUGUACCGGUACAGCAUCAGAAGUGUACAAUACAUAAAUAUUACUGGACGACCAUCAAGGGUGUAACCCGUUUCACUGUUUCGUCUGGUUUUUCGUUCCGUCAAUCAUGUAACCGUGACAGCCUAAAAGUGUACCGUACACAGUGUAAAAACGAAACUUUCUAAUCCGACUCCAAUUGAGUUCUUAAAGUAAUAUAAAUAAGCUAUUGGGCUAUUCUCUACAACAGAUUAAGCAUCUGCAAAAUAAUAUUUAAAACCUAGAGCCGGAUUCAUCAAAAAUCUAUUUUCUAGCAAAAAAAUCUGAAUUUUUCAUUUUUAGAUCAAAUCCGAGAUAUUGAAAUUUUGAUAUGUAAUAUUCGAUUUGAUACCCGGCUUUGCUUGGUAGUUCUAUUCCUGAUUUUUCUACAAUACUCCAAAGCGAAGCGAUCACCAUAUUCAUGAUAUUACUUUCACUGGUGGCGUCCGGGAUUCGGCGUAUUGACCGGCGGUCGUGAUUCGGAAUCGUGGGCCGUCGUGAUUCGAGUGCGUCGUGGAUUCGGUCAUGAUUAAAGCUUCGUGGAUUCGAAGUGGAGCCGUCGUGAUUCGUAGACGUGAGGCUGGACAACCCGGAGGGUAACAGCGCGAAGAUUCAUAGGAGGUUUAAGAGAGUUUAAAUCCGUUGGAGAGUCCGGUAACACUGUAAUUUUUCUCUUAGUGAAUUAUUUUUUUCGCAUGUUUGUCCCGUGGGUUUUUCUCCCAACUUGGAGUUUCUCCUUACGUAAAUCUCGUUUGUUUUUUUUUUUCUAUGCCCCGCAGUUUAUUUUUAUUGCAUGCGAAAUUUGUGUUUAUUGGCCGUUAACGUAUUCACCCGCUCUAGGUAUAGAUACAAUCUAGAUAGAUCUUUCGGCUCCUCAAAACGUUUCACUUUUUCUUUCUCUUUUCCCUCAUUCUCUCACCCUUUUGCAUCUAGAGAGAGAAGAAAAGAGGAGAAGUAAGAAAGAAGAAGAAAAGACAGAGAAAGGAGCUCUUGCUUAGAGGCCUUGGAGCAUCAUUUCAUCUUCCCCACAUUUCCACUUUGGUGGCUUGAACUUGCUUGUAGCCUUGUGAGAGCAAACUUCAGCUAUUGAUUUUGAGCUUGAUUGGCAGCUUCUCCUUGAGUGGUAGCAUGUAAUCCCAGUUGAUACAUGUUUCCUAGGUUUUAACUAAAUGAAACCCCUAUAUUUGGGAUUUAGGUUUGAGGAUUCUUGAUUCGGGGACUUCUUGAUCUCCUUUUGAUGGUUUUGGACCUUUAUAUAGGUUAGAUGAAGACCUCCUACAUUCCAUUUGAGGAUUUUGAGAGGUUUUCACGCUUAGGGUGAUUUUUUCUACCAACCCUAGCUUGAGUUGGUUAAUGAAUGAGCUAUUGCUCUGUCGUUUAGUCUUGUAUGGACACUUAUUUUGAUGUUCUAGGUCUAGGAAGCUUGUGGAUAGCCUUUCGUCGCUAAGCGAAAGAAUGUCGAUUUUUGGUGGGGUGUUUGGCUCCUUGGACCUGGGGGAAAUUGGCCCCCUAAUGCUCUGUUCUACUUGUGUAAAAUAUAGUUUAAGUUCAUUUUCUAAUGCUAAAUGGGAACCUUUAUAGAAUUAGACACUUAAAAUCAAAUGCCCUUGUUAUUACUUAAAUUUCACUAUAUAGUAGUACUUAUAUGAUAGAACGCACUGCAUACGGGAAAAAUGUUUCAUUUUGCAAGUGGAAAGACAUAUCUCUUAUGAGAUCGAUAAACUGGAACAUGCUACUUCGAACCAUAGUUGUCCAUGCUCUGACAUAGAAAAACAGAGUGUCAUCAAGGGGCACUUGAAACUAGUAAAUCUAUUAAACGGCAACAUAAAGACAUAUCGAUAGCCUUACUACUCUGCUAUAUAUCCAUGGUUAGAGACAUAUGACAAGAGAGUAGCCAUUUGAGAUAACUUGAUAUAUUACAUACUUUAGACAUGAGAACGUUGUACUUGAGACGGGAUCAUUGUCUUGCUUGCCAUUGUGCUCAUUUUCUGCACAUUGCUUGUGAGGGUCGCUCCCUAGCAAGUCCGGCACUCCGGAGAUAGCCAUCGCGACAUAUGCUCGCCCGUGCGGGAUUGGGCGCCGAAGUGGAUUGCCGUGGGGGAGGCUCAUCCCUAGAGUGGGGAUGUUGACUACCACGGGGCCAUUAGGCAUGGCGCAGGCCAGACAGCCUUCGGGUGGGUCUUAUAUGAUUGGGACUUGGUGACAGAACAUGCUAUGUGAACCUUAUAACUGUUAAAGUGGACUUGGACUAGAAUAGUAAACAAUGACAUCUUUACUAUUACAUUGUGGACUUUGGGUAGAUGCAUAAUCAUGCUUUAUAUGUUGGGUGUUCAUGUGCAUAUAGCUAGUAGUUGCUUCCUUACUUAUGUAAAUUAUACUAAGUAGAGGUAUCAUGUUUAUUAGGUACUCGUUUAUUUAUUUACUUACAGUACAUUUAUCGCUUUUGUUAUAAUGUACACUGACCCUUUUUCUAUAGUUUCGGGCCUAGUGGUGCAUUUCACUAAAGUCAGUAAUUGCCCACUGGGAACUAUUUUUAAUAGUUUUCACGCCCCCGUUUUAUGGUUUACUUUUCAGAGCCUUCGGCACCGGUGGAGGCACGGGAUCGCGGCAAGGGUGUCGCGUAGCUAGCUCGCGGAGAGUUCUUUUGCGAUAGGUAGUUACUCCUCCAUUUUAUAUUUUGUGAGAGAGGGAGAGGUUUUGUACCAUGUAUAGAGAGAUCACCUUGUACUCCUUUUAGCACUUGUUAUGGGAUCCCUAUUGUACUUACUUAAUGUUUUUAUUUAGUGGAGUUUCAGCUUUAUGUCCUUUCCUUGUUAUAGAACUAGUUAUACAAUGCUCUGAUAUCACUAGAUCUCUUGUAUUAUUGUUUUAUCUAUCUUUUUUUGUAGACGCCUUAUAUGUUUCAGACGUAUGGCGGGUCUGGACACGCGCCGGGUAGGCUUCCGCUGAGCCCCGGGGCGUGACAUUCAUUAUGUACAAUGUUUGAUUGAUUGUGCUUGGUUGUGCUUCUCUGUGCUUCUCUAUGUUUGAUCGAUGCUCUAUGCGUUGUAUAUUAUAGUGUGCAUCCUGUGCACUAUGGUUGCCUUCAGAAAGUAUUUGAGCUCUGUGCACGGGCAAUUAUGGCAAUGAUGAUGGUUUCCAUCUGUAUUCGAUGGAUGGUAUGAAUGUAAAAAUUCAUACAACCCCAUAUUUAUUGGAACCCAAAUAAGCCAGCAAUCCAUCAGCAUUUAGCAUUCGAUGGUUGGUAUGGAUGUAAAUUUCAGUGCAUGUGUAUGAUGUUCAACGGCAAAACCCUUCCUUGCAAUGUAUAUGAUGUUCAAUUAUAUGUCAAGUAUUAUUGUUCAGUAUUUUUUUAAAAAUUUGCUAUGAUGUAUUAUGUCUGCACAUUGAACAAUAAUUGUAACUUUCUUUCCUAUUUUUCAUGUUUACUUGGCUACUUGCUUGAUUUAAAUUCUUGUAUGUCAUAAUAUUUUGAUGGUGUUGUCUUUGCAUAUGAUUUACAACUAAAUUGUCAUAAUAUGCAUAAGUACAGAUGCGUCUAGGCAAGAGACCCUCUUCUAAAUCCUUUAUAAACCAAAGUAUAGGAUUGGACAAUAAUCCAAUCCCUAUGGAGAUGUAGGAGGUAGCAGCAGAGAGCGCAAUCAAACAUAUACACGCACUGCAAACUAGACCGAUCAUUUGGAUUCUAUUUUAUUGAGUAUCAUGAUGAUGAGCAUGCAUUAGGAAACUAUGUUAAUGGUAGUUUUACGCAAAUAGCAUGGGUUAGAAUUAUUUCAGCUUUCAACUCGAAAACAAGUCAGAACCUAACGAAGAAUCAAAUUAAGAAUCGUCUGAAGGUUUUGAAGAGAUUGUAUAUGACCUACCAUUAUUUGGCAAAUAAGAGCGGUUGGGGUUGGGACUAUGUGAAUAAUAUACCCACAGCCGGUGAUCGUAGUGAUUGGGACGCAGUCUUAGCAGUAAAGGUUUAUUACAAUGAUUGCAAUUUCUUUGUGCACCUUCUUAUUAAACUAUUAUGAUGUCAACUCUCUUUGUUCAGGAGAAUCCGGCUUACGCGAAGUGUAGGGACAAACCUUUUCCGGCAUAUAAGGAUAUUGAAUUUCUUUCUGGAACAACUACUGCCACUGUAACACACUGGACCUUUGUAAAUUGCGAGGUUCGAGUGUUUGGAUGUAUUUCGAGCUUUUCACCACUUGGUGGAGGGUUGUAGAAUGUUUUCCGACGUAAAAAGUUCGAAAACUGGAAUUCUGGACAAGUCCUGAGAGUUCUUACUCUCGGGGACCGGUCCCUGGAAGGAGAGACCGGUCCCCUAGUGAACAGUGUUGCGGCAGCCCUGAGGUAACCGGUCCCUGGCGGGCGAGACCGGUCCCCGAGCGCGCCUUCGCAGAGAGAGACCGGUCCCGCGCAGGGAGAGACCGGUUCCCGAACGAUGGUUUUUCGGGUUCGCAGCGAGAGACCAGUCCCUGCUAGGGAGAGACGGGUCCCUCUGGGCGAAAACUGCCCAGUUUGGGCUGAUGCAAUAUUGGGUUUUUGAGGGGCCUCUUCGGAUUUUGUUACACUAGAUGGGCUUAUUAGCCAUUUCCUCCUCUUCCCUCCCUCAUUUUCUCAUUCUCACCCUCUCCCUACACUUUCUAGAGAGAGAAGAAGAAGAAGAAGGAGGAGAAGAAGAAGAGGAGCUAGCUUGAGGGAGCUUGGAGCUCAACCCCUUUCUCUCUUUCCCACCUUUGCAAGGCUUGGAGCUUGCUUGUAGGGCUUGGUGGUGGACCAAUCUUCAACCCUAGAAGAUUUGGAGCUUGUUUUGAGACAUCUAAAGAGGUUAGUACUUUGAUUCUACCCUUUGAUCCUUAUUUUGGUAAGUUUUGCCUUUUGGAACCCUAGAAUGAGAUUUAGGGUUGAUUUUGGGGCUUUUUGAUCUAGGACUUUUGAGGCUAGAUUGAUUGGAUUAUAACCUUCCUUGGGCUUGGAUUGAAAGGGUUCUAACUCCCUUUUAGAGCUUUGGAAGAGAUUUCUUCUCUUGGGGUGAGUUUUAGCCCUUUUGUUAGGUUGUUAAAGUUUGACCUUAUAGAUUGAUCGUAAUGCCCGUGUAUCUCUUCGCUGAUCACUUUUAGGGUAUUUUGAGGCUCGUGGACAACUUUGUUCGGCGAAGCGAAGGAGCACGCAACGGUUCGGUGGGUUUGACCUAGCAUAUGAUAUGAAAAUGCUCAUAUUUGGCAAAAUAUGUUUCGUAAAAUAGAAAUUCAUGCAUUUCCAUGUUAAAUGUAUUUAAUAUGAAUUUUAAAAUGCUUAACAUGCAUAUAUUAUGUAUAGUGAAAUUUUAGACCCCUAUGUGGUAGAGUGCAUGCAUGUGAGACUUAGCAUUCUAGUUAGGAUUGUGGAUCAUGAUUCCUAUUGUGGAAAUGAACCUUGCUUUCAUGCAUUUAACCUAUAUGCCAAUUGUGACAUUAGAAAUUUUAGAGGCCUAGAGAAGGCUUGAGAACUUGGACUAUUUGAGAUUGGGCCAAUGUCAUAAUGAGGCAUUGGGUCCGGGCUAAAGUGAACCUAGCUAGUAUUGUUUUAGUUGGAAUAUGGAAUAUGAAUUGUGCAUGAUUAGUUGUGAUGCUUAAGUGUCAUAAAGAGGCACUAAGCGAGAGUGUGCGAUGGAGCGUCACUUUGAGACUUUGGACUAGAUCCUUGGGAUGCUAGUGGCCUUGCCAUGUGAGAGGCAUGAGAGUAGAGUACUUGAGACUUUGACUUUGCUUGCUUGCCAUUUGUGCUCAUUCGCACAUGCUUGUGAGGGUCGCUCCCUACAAGCUGGCACUUCGGAGUUAGCCUACGCGACUUAUGUUCGCUCGUGCGGUAUUGAGAAGCCUACGGAGUCGAGUGGGACAGACACAUUCCAAGAGUAGGGAUGUUGGGCUACCACAGGCACUUAGGCGGCACAAGCUGGACUACCUUUGGUAGGUCCUUAAUUGGAAAUGGAAAUCGAUACGGUGUUGAGAAUGGUUAAUCACUACUAGAUAGGUUUAGUAGUCGAAUUAUAUUUAUAUGCUUUUAGCAUAGUGUUGAGACUUGUAGUAUACUUGAUAGACUCCUUUUUACAUUAAAGCAUACUUGGGUGCCAUGAUAGAACUUGCAUAAUGUAUUCUUGAAGAUUAAUGACACACUAUUUUGAUAUCGUAGAUGUACAUUACCAUGACAUCGUUUAUACUUUAGCUUAGUAUGUUAGCAUUUUAAUUAUGCCUUUAUAUCGCAGUCAUUAUUGCUACCAUUAUUGUACUUACCCUUUUCUUUUGGGACCUAGUGGUGUAUAGAGCUGAGGUCAGUAAUUGCCCACUGGGAACUAUAAAUUAUAGUUCUCACGCCCUCUUUUUCUCGAUGUUUUUCAGAGUCUUCCACGCAGGGACAGGCCAGGGAUCGCGGAAAGGGUAUCGCCUCGGGCUAGCGUGCUUACCGAGGGAUCGUUCGAUAGGUGGUCUACCUCUCGUGUUUUCUUUUUGAGAGAGGUUGAGAGUUGUACCCGUAUAUGUAUAGAGACCACCAUUUUGUACUAGAGACAGUUAUUGUGCUACUUCUGAUUUCUUUUAUUGUCUAGCUUUACUUUGGUAUAGAUGUUAGAACUUUACUCGCUCUGAUAUCAUUAGUUGCUAGUUAUUUCACUUUUUCUAUCGUUCUAUUACUUGCUUUUACUUCCGCUUUUAUGCUAGAAGCCUUAUAUGUGUAGACAUAUGGCGGGUCUGGGCACGCUACCGGGAGGGCCACCGUCGGUCCCGGGGCGUGACAGCCACAGGACAAUUUGGAAUGUCUUCACAAAUGCCGGCACCUACAAUUGAUAGCUCAGCCUCAUCUUUUCCUCGUGAGGGCAAUACCGUCGUAGGUGUUAGACAGUUAGCAAUAAAUUACUUACCCGAUCACUUUGAACCAGGGUCCUCAAGCUUACCCAUGCAUGCAAACGUUCCGGGCAGUAAUACUUCUCAUUCCCCUAGCCCUCUCCUAGUGCAACCAAAUGUAGGAUAGAGUGCUAGAGGAUCUGGACAUAGCUUCGCAGGUAAAAGAUCUCGCUCUCCAGAGCCCUCACUCCCUCCAAAGAAACAACCAUUUUCUUCCGCCGGCCGGAAAAAAAAGAGUGACAUAGCCGGCGAAGCAAUAGUGGAAUUAGUAGAAAUUGGUAGAAAUUGAAAAAUAAAAGCUGAACCUUGUACGACAAAUGUACCAACAAAAUGUCACCAAUCAGACAAAUAUUCCUUCAAUUGAAGAUUGUAUGAAUAGGGUUUAUAAUCUACCAGGAAAAUAACAGAUGACAAGGCCCUAGCUGUAGGGGAAGCAUUGCUAAAUGACAAACAAAGACGCCUUUUUAUGACUAUGAAUGAUCGCCUUACAACUAGGUGGAUAGAGCGGUAAGUCAACCUCCAAAACGUCUUGUAUAAACAAAACUUUCCUGGUUUCUAGAUUGCUCUGUUAUUGUGUGUUGGUGUUUGUAGAAUAGAGUAGUACGUGGUGUGUUGAAGCAUAUGCAUUUUGGACUUGUAUGCUAGAUUAUUCAUAUGUUUGUUUGGUUGUAUGUCUUAUAAUGUACAAUGUUUGCUUAGUUGUUAGUUUGUUUCUGUUCAAUGUUUAGACUUGAAGGUGCGUUAUAUUUUCUGUUGCCAAAUAUGCGAUGUGUAAUGCUUGUGCUGUAAUGCAUGAUAUUAUCAUUGCAGCACUCAGGGGUGCGCCCUUGUAUCGUUCAGUUUUUUCUUCGACGACCUUAGCAAAUAUUAUGUCAAUAUUAGAUGACGAUGAUGACUACUAGGAUCAAAUAUAUGUGAUGCUCUUUGGUCAAGACUUUUUGACGUUUUCUAAUUCCUUACACAAACGUCAGUAUCGUACUCGACCUUUUACUGGGCACCAAAUGGUUUGUCAUAUUUUGAAUGGUCAUCCAGACAGAGGGUACGAUCAUUUUCGCAUGACGACUACUACUUCGUUGCACUCCACGAUGUACUACUUGGUCGGGGGCUGAUAAGAGGAACACGAUACAUGACUGCUGAUGAACAACUAGCAAUAUUUUUUUUUGGCGUAGGUCGUGGUGUGGCUAAUAGAGUGCUUGUUGAAACAUUCCAACAUUCAGGAAAAACAAUCAGCAGACAUUUCAACAAUGUAUUGCAGGGUAUUGUAAUGUUGAAAGGUGAAUACCUAACGUUGCCGCCAAAUAAUGUAAUGGUGCAUCCAAGAAUUCAAGAUAAUCUCAAUUUUUAUCCUUUCAAGGUUGAUUUGUACAAUUACAUGCAAUAUAUAUUUCAUUUGGUUGUUAAUUGUGGAUUAAUAUAUGCUGCAUGUUAUCUUGUAGAAUGCAAUUGGCGCAAUAGACGGCACAUAUAUUCCUGUAAUUGUACCGAGGAGCGAACAACCACGAUUCCGAUGUCGCAAAAGGUUCACAUCCCAAAAUAUGAUGGCCGCAGUCUUAUUUGACCAUAUUUUUUUCUUCGUAUGCACAGGUUGGGAAGGAUCAGCAGUAGAUAUGCAUGUACUUCGGUGGCCCUGCGACCAAGGAAGUUUUACAGUUCCAGAUAGUAACUGCCCAAAUGCUCUUUAAUAUUAUGAAUAAUAUUUUAGUCAUUUUAAUGAAUACUGUUUACUAUCUAUGUUAAUAUUCAUCGGUAAAUUUUAUCUGGUUGAUUCCGGGUACGCAAACACAGAUAUAUUUCUUGCGCCCUACAGAGGUGAACGGUAUCAUCUAAGUCAAUUUGACAGUACCACAAGGGCCCGCACGCAUCGCAACCUCAAAGAUCUCUAUAACCAUCGACAUGCUCAGUUGAGAAAUGUCGUCGAGAAAACUUUCGGUAUAUUAGAGAAGCGGUUUAAGAUUUUAAAUCACGCAACAACGUUUCCGUAUAAAGUACAGUGCAUGAUUGUUAUGGCAUAUUGUUUAGUACACAAUUUUAUUCGAAAACAACAAGAAAAUGAUAUGUACUUUAAUGAAGAGAUAGACCAACUCCCUACUGGCGAUGACGAUGAGGAACCGCCAAAUAUUGGCGGCGCAGAUGAAUCAAGACACGGCGACAGUUUACGUAGAACUAUAACAGAGCAAUUAUGGAAUAGUAGAUGUUGAUUGUUUGUGUUUAUGCUAAUUGUAAAUAUUGGCAAUAGUUUUGUAUUUUGGAUAAAGUUUAUGUUAUGUUGCUUGCAAAUGUGAGGUAAUUGUGAUAAUGUUAUGUUGUAAUAUUCGACUGGUUGCAUGUUUACAUCUAUCAGUUAAAGUGUUUAUUUUAGUUGUGACAAUGAUUUAGAUUUAUUUUCAUGCUAUAUAAUUGGUGAAUAUUAUGAAUGCAAAUUUGCUUGACCGUCGCUAUAGAUUUGCUUGAUGGUAUAUGUAAAUGUGCUUAUUGCUAAAAAGUGUAAAUUACGCUUCGUGCUUAAAGUGUUUAUUCGACUGGUUGCAUGUAAAUGUGAGGUAAUUGUGAUAAUGUUAUGUUGUAAUAUUCGACUGGUUGCAUGUUUACAUCUAUCAGUUAAAGUGUUUAUUUUAGUUGUGACAAUGAUUUAGAUUUAUUUUCAUGCUAUAUAAUUGGUGAAUAUUAUGAAUGCAAAUUUGCUUGACCGUCGCUAUAGAUUUGCUUGAUGGUAUAUGUAAAUGUGCUUAUUGCUAAAAAGUGUAAAUUACGCUUCGUGCUUAAAGUGUUUAUUCGACUGGUUGCAUGUAAAUGUGAGGUAAUUGUGAUAAUGUUAUGUUGUAAUAUUCGACUGGUUGCAUGUUUACAUCUAUUAGUUAAAGUGUUUAUUUUAGUUGUGACAAUGAUUUAGAUUUAUUUUCAUGCUAUAUAAUUGGUGGAAUAUUAUGAAUGCAAAUUUGCUUGACCGUCGCUGUAGAUUUGCUUGAUGGUAUAUGUAAAUGUGCUCGUUGCUAAAAAGUGUAAAUUACGCUUCGUGCUUAAAUAAUGCAUGUAUUUUUGGUUAAUUGUUAAGGAAUAUAUCUGUUAUAUUCAACAUGAUGUUUAAAAUUUUUUAUUUAAAUGACUGAGUUUUUGUCGUUUUAAAUUUUGCUAAGUAUGACUUAAAAUACAUAUUUAAGAUUAUUAAAUAAAGUCAAGAUUUAAUAAAAAAUCAAAGUAUUUUCAAAUUUAAUUCCUUACAUUUUAAUUUGUUAGUUUAUUCCCAAAUUAAAAAAUUUUAUAAACAAUUUUAAAUAAAAAUUUGGUUAGGCUUCAUAUUAAGAGAGAGGGGUAUUUUGGGUAUAUCAAAAUUUCAACCACUCACUAUUCCUCUUAUUCCCAAAAUCCAUCCAAACGUUAUUUUUCUUGUUCUUUCUUAUACUCACAUUUUCAUCCAAACAACAAAACUCUUGUUCUUACAAAAAUCCAUACUUGUACCUAUCCCCGAUAUAAUUAGUUCCCACUAAUUUUUGAACCAAACGAAACCUUUAGAGGGCGUUUGGCUCGGAUAUAAAGGGGGGAUAAGGGGGAUAUCCCCCCUUUAUACCCAAUUUACCGUUUGGUUCGGGUAUAAGCAAGAACUAGCUAUUACAGGGAUAAGUACAAAUAUGGGGAUAAGAAAAAUAGCGUUUGGAUGAAAAUUGGGUUGUUCCCGGGGAUAAGAAAAAUAGCAUUUGGAUAGAUAAUAUGGAAUAAGAAAAAUAUUAGAUAGUUUUAUAUAGAAAAUGGAGGUGUUGGUGGGAAUAGUUAUAACCGGUUAUUAUAGGUAACCGAGAACCACUGUGCUCGGGUAAAAAAUUAGCGUUUGGGUAUAAAGGAGGGGAUAAAGGCCUAUCCCUAUCCCCUAACCAAACCCUGCUAAAAAAAUUUGGGUCGGGUGGGAACACUUGUUCCCACCCAUACCAGGUUGUACCGGUACAACCCGGUAUGGGUGGGAACAAGCAGCUCCUACCCAGGGGUGGGAACAAGCUAGUUCCCACCCCCCCGGGUAGAGAGAGAGAGAGAGAGAAAGAGAGAGAGAGAUUUUUAUUUUAAAUUUAAAUUUGAUAUUUUUAAAUUUUAAAAUUGAUAUUUUUAGUUUUUAAAUUUUAAAUUUGCUAUUUUAUAUCUUUGAAAUUUAAAUUUGGUCUUAAAUUUAAAAUAUAAUUUUUUUUUGUGCAUUUUUUAAAUAGAUUCUAGUUAAAGUUUUAUUGAUAAACUAAAAAUUUUAAAAAUUAAAAUGACAGACUCAUAAAACUGGAUUUUAAAUUUAAUUAAUAAACAAAAUUAUUUAAACAUCAACAUUUUCGCCAUACUUUAUAUGAUUAAUCUGAAUAUUUUUAUUGAUUAUAUAAGUUUUAAACUUCAAUUUUAUAAUAACUGUCUAGGUUUAGUUUAUUUAAUUUUCUUACUUAUCGGUAUAGUUUUAAAAUUUUAUAAUCUAGCGGUUAAGUUUUAUUAAAAGUCAAGUUGCUUCAAUUUAUAUAAAAAUGAUUUUUAAAUAAUAUCAGUUUCUAUUUUAAUUUUUUGAUUACGGGUAUAGAGUAUUCUAAAAUCAUGGUUUUACGUAGGUUUUCAUAGACUUUGACGUUGCGUUUCGUCUAGAUUUUAAACUCGGUAAAUAAUCCGUUGUAUCAUAAGCGAACAGCAUCCUGACUUAUUUUCUAUGGCGCCGUUCUUUUGUACGCAUAAAUAAUUGUUGGGUGCUUUUUAACAUGUGUCAAUUUAUACUUCAAUGGUUAACUGAAAAAUGUGGUUCUAACAGCGCCAUGUUGUUUUUAAAAUUACGCCCUGUUGACCUACCGGAAAAAAAAAAAUUGUUUAAAAAUAAAUUCUUAAAGAGCUAGGAGUGAUAUUAAAACUAUAUUUCUCUAUUAAAACUAUAUUUCUCUAAUUAAAUUGCAAAGUAAGGUUUUUUUUUUUUUCAACUUUCUAUAAUUUUAUUCUUUUCUAAAGAAUAAAUAUCCGGAUUUAGAAUUAUAUUAUUAUUGUUUUAAAAGUAUUCUUUUCUUUAACUAAUUUUCUAUAAUGAUUAGAUUACUUAUAAUCCAAAAAUCUCCGCCUCCAGAGGCACCUCCCGCGACCACUAGAGGAGCCACCACGCUGGGCUCCCUGCCUCGUCCUCCAAUCCAAAAAUCUCCAAGACUUUGGCUUAAGCCCAGGCCUAGCCUAGCGUAUAGUCUUAACGGAUGUCUCACCUCUCAGAUUACGAUGAUUUCUGUAAGUAAACCCAAGUCUUGAGCUUAAAUCAAACGUUUUUAUUCGUUCUCUACCUUUUCGUCGUAUUUAGUCGUUUCUAACUUCGGUAUCGGGAUAGGGCUACUCGUCUUUUUCUGCUUAGGUUUCUUUCGCACCUCCGCCUUAGAUUGAAUCAAGGAUGUUAUUAGUUUCAGGGUUCUCGAACAAUUACUAAUCCUCAUGGUGUGACCUCUUAUCUAACAACAUUCUCUUGCCGCAUGAGUUUAUAUAUCUUCUCUCUAGUUACGUUUUAACUUAGGGCUCGUCCACAUCUUAUUAUUUACGUUCAUUAUACUACGAGAUUAAUCGUUUCUAAGUUGGAGUCUUUCCCGUAUUCUUUUUGUUUUCUUUUUUUAUAUAUAUAGUCAACAGACUUGCUCCUUCGAAGCAUCAUGUAUGGUUAGACGAAUUAAGUAACUUCGAAGAAACAGACGUCGUAGUUUCUUUCCCUCAACGGUACCGAAAGCGACUUAUCCUAAUUUUUCAUUUGUUAAGCAAGUUAUACUACGGUGAAAAACGUCGAGGGUAAUGAUCUCGACGAGGUGACGUCUUCUUGAUUUUCUUCCCGGAUUAAUACUUCCUUCUUUGACGAAGGAAUCGGGAGUGCCCUUUCUUUAUUUUCUCGGUUUUUAAUUCUAACAUGGAGAAGUUCGAAUUUGAAAAUAUUCGGGUUUGGGUUUGGUUAUAUUUCGUUGGAGAGGAGUUACAAUGGUAUAUAAUCCUAAACAAGCUUUGGUUUAUAUUGAACAAUAAGUUCUUAGUAAUAGGUUUGACUAUGUUUGACCAGUGGCACCUUUCGAGUUUGUUUGAUUUGGGUUAGUUCUUCGAGGACCAAAAACAUCUCGACUGCUUAUUUGGUUGUAACAGUCAAAACCAUGAUGUGUUGAUCCUUGAGUGUCUUGUUCCGUUGACUGAAUUGACCUGGAGUUUUUAUAACAUUUCAGUAAUGACAUUAUUUUCUUAUUAUGGUACUUAUCGUUUACAUAUAGUUACAUCUUUUCUUUUUUUUUUAAGUUUCUUUUUGGAAUACUUCAUCGUCCGUGUCCUGUACUUAUGACUGAAUUCUGUGUUGCUUGCAGAGAUUAUUCGCUAUAGGUGUCUCCUAUAUGUUAAGUUGUAUAGACUCAUGUUCGUACAGUAUUGUCGUUGAACUUGUUCAGAUGUUAUUUUAUUUUAUUUUAUUUUGUUUUGUUGUUGUGUUGCGUGUUCUAUAGUUCAAUUCUAACUAAAAUAGUCUAAAAUUGUUUUACGACUUUAAUAAGGUCGACGUCGAUUUUUAAAGGAACACUCAUACUUUGACAGUACUAUGGUUUAGACUUUUGUAAUAUACCCGUUGUUUUUCCGACUAUCGUCAGCAAUCUGUGGUUUUUAUCACAUAGCCUUUGUCACAGAAGCGUUGACUCUACAUUAUACUUACGUUUAUACGGGUUUUCAAUUUAUGACCUUUUAUACGAGAAUCCUAAUGGUGUGAUUCUAGGUCGGAUUGUGUUGGUUGGGUCAAGUCCUCGAGAGAGGUCGUAAAAACCACUAGUGAGGUUAUGAGUCGUCGAAAUCAACGUUCAUUUCCAAGUUUGUAUGUCACUUUGUGCUUAUUUUAUAUUUGGUUCUUUUGAGUUAAAUAGUCUAUUACUACGAAGACGAGUGUUUCGGUUCUAAAUUUAGGCUUCGGAAGAUUUGAUCUAAUGCGUCGUUAGAAGUCAUGCUUAGUCUUUUCAUUGGAGAAUUUAAGCAAGUCGUUACUUUAUGGUUUGAUAACUUCUACGUAGUCGUGUUUUAGGGCUUAGUUUAAGUGACAAGUUUUAGCUAUCGUACUAUCCUUAUCCUCAGAAUUGGAUUUUUAUGCUUAGUGUAUGGUUUAAUGCCCGAGAAGGUGUCAUACUAGAUUCUAGUUUGUGGGAUUGGUCUAGAGGCUAAGUGAAAUACGUUUAAUUCUUAGGCAUGUGUGUUGUUGGUUUUUCCUCUUCUAUAGGUUUUUUUGAUUUCCCCUAUCUUUGGUCUUGGAUCUAGCUCUAGCCUAGGCUCUGGCGCCUCGAGAAUUUAGCGUGCUCUAGCCUCCGGCUAGUACGCGAGUGAGGACCGCGAACUCGAAGAGGUCCGCGACCAACUCGACCAGCUACGCCUGCUGCUCCCUCCACUGCCUCUUCUCCUCGGUCAUCUCCUGAUCGCGCCGCCGCUACUCCUCCCGCAACGCGACCGAGAAGUACUACCUGAAAACCACCGCCUCCACGAGCCUCCCCCACGUGCGCACGAGGACCAGCGUGCACCCCGCGCAGAGCAUGAAGGUUAUCUACAGGUACUCCUCCUUCUCCGUUUUCCCGUGGUGGCGCUCCUCGCCGAAGUCCCGCGACGCGUGGCGGCGCUGCUCGGGGGCGGCGUCGCGCAGCUCGGGGCCCUCGCAGUCGUCGUGGUCGUACUAGCGGAGGCGGGGGCGGCGCAUCGGUUCCUGGUGGGUGAGGUUGCGGUACCCCCUUCGUUCUCUCUCUCUCUCUCCUCUCUAGCGCGCUAGCUUCUUUGGGAUCUUGGGAGCUUUGGGAUUAAACCUCCUCUUCCAUAGCCUAGCCCCCAGUCGAGCUAGCGGAGAAAAAGCUCUCCACGUUUCCCCCUUUCCUUCUCCUUUGCUCCCUGUGCAAUUGUCGGAAAUUGCCGCAAUCAUGGCCACGUCAACAUCCCUGAUCCCUCAUCCGCGUAUAUUUCAAGAUACGCCUGUUCUGUUAGCCCGAAACAAAAAGACAUACCCGGAAUUGCUCCGGGUUGAGUGAAACUCCUGGAUUGCUCGGUAUAAACCCGAGUAAACAGUUUAUAAUGUUAAAAAAAUUCUCAACAGUUUAUAAUUUUUUUUUUUUUUUAACGCAGGAGACAGGUUCGGUCUAUUACUGAAAAGGUUUUUUUUGCUUUUUCUUUUUUUUUUUUUUUUCUCAUAUACGUUUAUUACAUUAGGUAACAAUUAAAGAUAAGCGUAAAACCUUCUACUUUGAAUACCUUUACUUUAUUAAAUCUGUUUAAUACUUUAUUAACUCAACCACUCGUGGCACGUGGAUGAACGAAAUCAUACAUGUGUAUUUUAGAAUCUAACUUCUUAUGUGUAUUUUAGAAUCUAACUUCUUAGUGGUUGGGAACUAGUAACAUACGCUAGUGGUCGGUUAUAGCUCCUCUAUUAAUUAGUGUAGUGUGUUGUUCUUCUCCAAGUUAAUAUGGUACUAAUUAAAAUUCGUGUUCCCUUUAUUUAAGUUCCGUUUAACGUCUUUUCUCUUCCGUGUAACGUAACGUCGCAUUAUAUUAAUAAACGGACGUUUCUUCUUUGUUCUCCCAUAUACGAAUCCUGGUCUAGUUCGUUUAAGUCUUAACUUGACUUCCUAAUCUUCCAACGAUUCAUUUCUACUUUUUACGUGCGUGGAGCGGGCCGAGAGGAGUACUUCCUUUUCUUUGGCUAAUUCUCCCGCUACGGCUGUUAUUAGGGCUGCUACUAGCGGCGUUAAAAGAGCGAGACUAGAGGACUAUUAACUAUUUGUUAGUUUCUUACCGCGUAAUCAGUUUAAGUUGCUAUAAUACGAGAGAGAAUUAACUUCUUCCCGUUGCCAUAAUGGAUGGUCUUAUAGGUACGAUUAAGUAACUCCAAUUAGUGUAAGUCAAGCGUUUAUUAUUGGUUUUAUCAUUUUAGUUGAUGUCAUUAUUGCAAAAAUUACGGCUUAUCUUCAUUAAUUCAAACAAAAACAUGAUGGCAUUACCGAAUCACAUUUCCAUUAAAGUCUUCGAUCUAUUUAUACAAGAUGUGGUAACGUCCAAGGUAGAAGAUGGUUAAACACUUUCAAUUCUUUAAGAUUUAAUUAGCGAAAGUAAGGACCUUCUUCGUGAGCGUGUAAAGGAUGGAUGGACCAGAUUGAAUAACGUGUUUAAUAACCUUAUAGGAAGUUAAACCUAAGAUAUUGAAUAGAGUAGACCCGGGAUACUCCUUCUCACGUCCCAAAAACAAAAUAAAAAGACGACAUAAAACCGUCUACCAACCGAUGUGUGCGGUCAAACGGUGGUUUAAAACAGGAGAUUAGUAGGUUCAAUUCUUUUUAUAAGAUGACGUAAUGUAACAGUUGGGUAAUUAUUAUAUAUUAUUAUUAUAAUAUUCUCUGGAUGUCGCAACAUGUUUUUUUUUGAGAUAACUUCCUAAGUAUAGAGGUGAAGUAGAACACUACUUAUACAUGUGUUAAAUCGAUCGUACACCGGUGGGACCUCGUUUUGAUGUAUGUUUACGAAGAUUUAACAAAUCGAUCGAUCCCUGGAGGUUCGAAUAAGAUCACCAACUUGUUCGGUUCUAGAUUAUUUCCUCGAAAUAAGAGGUUAGGUGGGUAGUGGAUUAGAACGAUUUCCUCGGUAAUUAAGAACUCAAGGGAAUAAAGAGAAGAAAUCCUUUGAAUCCUUAUAGAAUAGAGAUGUGAUUAAAUGUUAAUAACGUUCUUGACAAUAAUAAUUCGAGGGAGAGAGAGAGAUAAACAAAGAUUCAAGAGACAAAACUAUAUAUAGUUCGGGACAUUAAUUAAUUACUUUAUAUCAUAAGAGACAUUAACUUAAUUGCAACAUUUCCGAAUCCAUUCCAAAUUGUUUUAUUACAUGCAUGAUCAGUUGUCCUAAAUAAGUUUUCUAAAGUAUAAAAUUAACGUGGUUACACAUGUAUCUCACUGUAUAUACAUCCGUGUUGCAAACUUUGGUUUGGUUUGAUCGUUUUGUGACAUUAGUAAACUUAUAGAUAAUCGUCUCGUUAACCGGUUUUAGUGCUCUUAUAUUUUGUACGUUAUGAAUUUCAAUUAAUUCGUUAUUUACAAAGUGAAUAUAGUAUAUAAAAACUUAUAAGUGCAUCUCUAGGAUAAGCAAUAAGUUAGGGAGUAUUUAGUACGUUUCAAAGAGGGGAUUUUAUUGAUAAGACGGAGAGAUAGUCUAUUUCAUAUUGGUAUUAGAUAAUGUCUUUUUUAUUUAUUUUUAUAGAAAAAUAUCCUCUCGUGCAACUGUGGACUACUGAUCAUUACGUCAACGUUAAAAAAAUUUGUCUCUCUCUCUCUGCUUUUAAUAUUACAUGCCUUUAAUACUUUCUAAAAUAAGAAUCGUUAACUAGCGAAUGGCAGAACUGGCGGCGGCGGUUACGGCGGUGGCGGCGGCUACGGCAGCGGGGGCUACGGCGGCGGCGGCGGCGGCGGCGGUUACGGAGGCGGGGGUUACGGUGACGGUGGCGGUUACGGCGGUAACGGUGGUUACGGUGGCGGUGGCGGAGGUUACGGUGGCGGUGGUUACGGUUACGGUGGUGGUGGUUACGGUGGUGGUGGCGGAGGCGGGGGUUACGGUGACGGUGGCGGUUACGGCGGUAACGGUGGUUACGGUGGCGGUGGCGGAGGUUACGGUGGCGGUGGUUACGGUUACGGUGGUGGUGGUUACGGUGGUGGUGGCGGAGGCGGGGGUUACGGUGACGGUGGCGGUUACGGCGGUAACGGUGGUUACGGUGGCGGUGGCGGAGGUUACGGUGGCGGUGGUUACGGUUACGGUGGUGGUGGUUACGGUGGUGGUGGCGGAGGCGGAGGUUACGGUGACGGUGGCGGAGGUGGAGGUUACGGUGGCGGUGGUUACGGUGGCGGUGACGGAGGCGGAGGUUACGGUGGCGGUGGCGGUGACGACGGUGGUGGCGGAGGAAGAAGUAGCCUGGUUAUGGCAUGCAUCGUGAACGGCUCUAUACGGAGGGGGAGGAGACGGCGGCGGGGCGUGAGUGAGAGGUCGACGAGGUGGCGGCGGAAGUGCGUGAGGGGUGUGAGGAGGCGUUAGUCCAGCGGCUGCGUGACGCGAUGUCGGACGUGGGAGGGGCGGGGCGGGUGGGACAUGAGGGGGGGCGGGAGGCAGUGGCGGAGGUUGCGGCGUAGUUGUAGCGGCGGUGGCGGUUAAGGCCGCGGCUAGCGCCGCGGCGUGAAGAACUUCUCCUCCCUGCACAGCCCAAACGGCUCCUUCCUCACCAACGGCAUCGCCUCCUUCGUCCGCGCCUCGACGUGCCGCCGCGGCCGCCGCCUCCCCGUCUCUCUCCGCUCGACGCUCUCCCGGCUCGCCUGCGUCCUCCGCGUCCGCCUCCGUCCCUCCAGCCGCGCCGUAACCAUCUCCGGGCUGUGCCGCGGACCCCUGCACUUCAAACGCUUCCUCCUGCGGCGUCGCCGCCGCCUCUAGCUGCGCUCCUAGCUCAGGUGCAUCGAGAGCAUACUACUCGGACUACACAUCACAACGCACCUCGUCGGCGACAUAUGCUUCCACAACAUCGGCCACCACAACAACAACAGCCGCCGCCGCUACCGCUGCCUCUCAUUCCACUUCUUCCUCUCCUCCUUCCACUCUCUCCUCGGCCUGUACCACACUAGCUACAAGCUAGCACCUACUCUAAUUAACAAAACUACAACGUGUAUGCUUGCUCCCUCCCCUGAUCGCCUCCACACCUUGUCACCUUCCCUCUACAUGUGAAAAAUCGAAUAUACAUCACACAGACACGCACAUACUCUCCCACUCUCUCUAAACCAUACCUCCCAACCUUACCCGCAUUUUUCAAGUUUUUUCACCCUCUUAUAAAAUUCAAUCAAACAUGCUUAUCGUUAAAAGACAAACCUGAUACGUCACGAGAACUAUUUUAUACAAAAAAAAAAGAAAAAUAUUAAAAGCCCAUACGGUCUUUUAAUCUAAAAAAAAAAAAAUGAGGUUGGUUAAGAUACUUUUAGUAAAAAAAUUUAGUAAAGCUUGUUUUAGUUAUUCAAAAAAGAAAGAAAAUAUGGUAUUUUAAUAUUUUAUUUUUAUUUUAUUUUCUUUAGCGAAUAAUGAACUUUUUCACUAAAGACAUAUUAAUUAAAAUCGAAUCUUUUCAUUAAAAACAAUUUUCGAUAUUUUGCAAACCGACUCUCUAUCAACCUCAUAAGAAUAUUUUUAAAAUUCACUUUUUUGACUAAAACGUUCUUAGUCAAAACUUCUUAAUCAAUAAAAAGAUAAAAACUAAGAACCGGAAUUUUUAGUUAAAAUAUUAAGAAUUUUUGUCUUAUUCUAAAAAGUUAUGAAUAACAGUUUAUGAGAUGACUCGGGUUUUAAUGACAACUUGAAUUUUAGUGAAAAACCUUCUAUUCGAUUUGUGGAGGAUUGUCCGAACCAAAGCUAAUUCCGGAUCAAAUUUUAACACUUCAAGUUUUUAUAAAUGAAAGUACGAAUUAAAAUUUUUUUUAAAUUUUUAAGAGAGGAAGUUAUAAUAUUUUAUUAUUAUUUAAAUUUUAUUCUAAACGACCACGCUCUUGUUAGUGUUCCCACUUCGUCUUCUUAGAACAACAUAAAAUUGACACAAACUGGAUGUGGUAUUGAAUUAUGUAACAACGCUAGUGUCCUCUAGUUCAAAGCUUUCUAGGGGACCCGGGACCCCGGGUAAUUAGUUGUCUUGUGAAACCUCCAAUUGCGUUAAGGGAAAUUUCGGGUAUGGUUACUCGGGAAUCGUUUAACCCGGUUUAACUAGGAGGUCUCAAAAGUGUUAGGUGAUACCGGGUGUUUGAAUACUCAAGAUUAAAGCAUUAAACGACCGAUUUAUAUAGAAUAAAAAUAUAAAAUCUUCUAAAUUUUUUAAAUUUUCUCGAAGAAGACUCAGAGGAAGUUGCGAUAUUUUAACCUUACCUCCAAGAGCUUGCACAGUGCUCGAACUGGUUUCAAACCUGGCUCCAAGAAACUGGUUCAAACAGAAAUUGUAAGCACAAACUAAAGAAAUCGAUGAAGAAAAUCAAUCAAUGAAGAUAUAAAAAAGCAUGUGACAUGAAAUAAAACCAGUAAAGAUUAAAGGAGACCGAAAAGUUCCUACGGAAUCGACGAAAGUAAAACAUGCGAAUCAAGUAAAACGAAUUACUUACUUCGUCUAUCGAACGAUAGAUAAAGAGUUUUUUUUUUUUUCUCCUUACCAAUGGUAUUGGGUUUUUCGUACAGCUAUUUUUAUUUCUAUAAAUUGAAAUCGACGCGUUAUAAUGAUUUGAUCCGGAUUUAAACAAAGUAUUAUGUAAAUUGCUUUACUUUGCGUCGUUUGCAUUCGUUUAAAUACAAGCCAAGAUUUUCAAUAAACAAAAUAUAAUGUGGUUGAAAAUAACGGGGAGUCUAAUAAAUUAUCGUUACACCGAGGUUAACUCCUUUGGUACACAAGCAAUAGGUAAGCAUGUACAUACCUUUGUUUAAAAAAACCUCCUCCACCUACAUGGUUUUUCUAAUCAGUGAUAAAACCCAACUGAACCUAGCUUGUAAUAGAUGUUAAUCCACUUCCAACCUCCGAUUGGAAUUUCGGUCUUAAUAGUUGAUUGUUGAUUAAACAUUCACAUAUUUUCUUUCUCUUAAUUACACAACUUUAUUAGACCAUAUCAUAUCAUAACAAGCUAUUUUACUUUUCAAUUUUAAAAUAAAGUUGAAAAAGUUUUCUAACAGCGUGUUUAACGUCGAGUGUUGUUACUCCCUUUACUACAAAACUGGUUGCUUAAUAAAGAACUAGAUGUAGCUUAGCUAGAAUCGAGUUUCAUUUUAACUCAAUCAAGUUCAACGCUGAUCCUUAACAAUAAUUUGAUAAGCUCGAUCAGUCAAACCUUCCCUGAGCUUAAGUGCGAAAAACUUUGUUCCUGGUAACUUAUCUUAAUUUCGUUUAAUCUUCAAACUGUUUAACUCAGGUUGGUUUCUUUAAUGUUUUUAAUUCAAAAAAUUAAACACAAAUAAACCGAAAAAGCGAAGCACGCACAUCUUCUAUGGUGUAGUGGGUGGAUUCUUCCAAAUGAACCGGGUGCUAAUGUAUUUAUAACAGGGUAACUUCCCAGAUUAAUUAAAUGCCCAAACUUGUAAAGUGUUAAACCCAGUGGACAAAGGACGCACUUGUUGAAUAUAUAUAUACAGUAUAAACUUUCUUAGUAAAAUAGUUGUAAUGGAUUUGAGUAUAAGGUCAAAAGUACAAUAUAAUUUUAAUUAAAUAAUAGUUAAGAACAUCAUCGAAAUCGAAAAGAUUCGGUACACCAAAUGGUUAAACUAGUCGUACAAUUUCAGAUUAAAACAUACUUUAACUUAUUAGGUUUACCAACCCCGAGGAGUUUGAUAUUCUAUAUAGGGUGGGUGGUAGAAAAAGGAUAUGUAAGUUAAUAGGGAGUGUAUGGGGAGAAAGAGAUAUUUAUCUUGCCACAUAUACACUGUUCAUUGAUUCAAAUUAAUCAAAGGAGAAUGAAUAUAUCAAAAUAGUUACCUCUUUUAUCUCCUCUUUCCAUACUUUUAACUUCUCCUCCAAUUCUUCCCUCUUUUUGUUAACGCCGUUGGUCAACAAGUAUCGGCUCACUCUUUCUAGUUCGUUCUCCUACUCUUCUAGUUCCUAGUCGACGUCGACGGAGGCCGCAAGCUCUGCUCCGCCGCCGGGCAGAAGUCCCUGGAGCGCGCCGUCGUCGAGAGCGUCAGCGGCAACCCAGCACAGCCGGCGCGCUAGAGGCAGCCCCUGACUACUAGUCGUCCUUAAUCAAAAGAACAAACACUUAAACCAUAAGAACGAGAUAGAAAUCUAGGAUGCAAGAGAGCACAUGUCUAUGACAUACCAACAUCAUUAAUAUGUAGCUAAUCUACCAAUAUACAUUAAUAUAUAUAUAAAUUCAAAAACACUGAUGACCACAACACUCUCAUAGGGAAACAUUAAUACAAAAGAAAGACGGAUACAUUUAUAUAAGUAACUACUGUAGGGGACAAAUGGUACCAGUACGAGUUGAAUAACCUUAGGACAAAAUACACAGGAAGAAGUAUAAAUGUUUAAAAAAAAUUUUUUUUUAAGCACUUUCGAAUAAGCGAGAAGCCAGAUUUUCGAAGAAGUAUUAAUCUAUCUUUCUUCUUCGAAAAACCUCAAACAAUUGGAUGAAGAAUGGUUUUUAUCAAAGAUUCCGGUGUGGUAUUAAAGUUUUGUGUUUCAUGACUACCCUAGAAAAGAAAAAAAAUUCUCUCUAACCAUCGUAUGAUAGGCAAAAUAAAUAAAAUAAAUCUUUAUUUGAAUUUAUCUUUACAUUUAGUUAAUCUUAAGCUUGAACUUUAGAGUCUAUGGUUGGUAGUUUGAGAAACAAUGAACGCGAUCUCUGCCAGCCAGAGCCCCCCAGAGAAGAGAUCAUUUGCUCAUAUGUUCCGGGUAAGGUAUUAACCAGGCCGGGUCAGCGUAUCCGGGUCAUCACAUCGUUACUUUACGACCCGGCUCGAUAAUUAAAACUUUCCAGAUUGACACUACGUAGCCGCAACCCGACGAAGCCUUUUAAGGCUUUUUAACAUAGUCUAACAAGUUUGCCUCACACAAAUUUACCACAGUUCACACCGACGACAGUUGAAAGGUUCAAAGGGAGCCAAACUAAGAUUCAGAAUCUUCCUGAAAAUAAAGGGUCAACACGGUUCAGGUUUAGGUACUUGUAUUUGUACCCUGGCCCUUAUUUGGAGGCGCGGACGCCGCCGCUAGAGUGGAUGUUUUAUUUAGAAUAUUUAGAUCGUUAUAUAACAAGAAAGAUGAUAAAAAAAUUCAGAAUGAACUAUAGAUCUCUCAUAUAUUAAAAAUUUUAACAUUUAUUUAUACAGUGCUAAAUUAAAUUUAACAAUCGAUAUUUUUUUUACCUUAGGCCAGGUACUUUACAUAACGACGUGGAUCACGAACGUUAUUAAGACAGGCUCAUAUUUAAGGUUCUUAUCCAUGUUCAUAUUUAAAAACAUUCUUAUUCUCAUAAAAAAACAAACCUACUUUUACACUCAUAUUCAACCUUGAUCUUUUUAAUACAAAACUACCAAUAAUACUUAUGCUCUUUAUCAAAUACCAAUAUUUAUCUUUUAUUACUAUAAUAGGGAGAGUAAUAUAAACUUAAAUUUAAAAAUUAAAAACUUAAAUUUAAAAUUUUGAAUUUUAAACUUUAAUUGUAAAUUUUAAUAUUAAAAUUUANUUCCAGCUCAUACUCACAUUUUCAUCCAAAAAAAAAACUCUUAUUUUAUAAAAAUCCAUACUUGUACCUAUCCCCGGUAUAACUAGUUCCUAUUAAUUUCCGAACCAAACGGAGCCUUAGGGAAUAAGAAAUAAGACUAAAAAAAGUAAUCAUAAAUUGCAAAUAUUUGUAGAUUUUAGUCAAAACUAAAUUAAAAGCUAAGGCACUCUAAAUUUGUCUUUUAUUUUCUUUCCAAUAACGACAAUCUAUACCAGAGCAUUUAGGAAAACAGGAAAAGAAGAAAAGGAAGAAAGAAAUCUCAAACUUCUACUAAGAUAGAAAGUAGAAAUUAAAAAAUUUGAGUCCCGAAACAGGAAACCUGGUUUGAUGCUUUCAAAUGAUUAUUAAAAAGAUAAUAAUUUUAUAUAGUUGUUGAUGCCAAAUUUGAAAUGAACACGCCGACCUAGCCCACGUAUGAGCCGAAGAAAUAAGGACGCGUGGUACACCAGGAGUCGGCAAUAAGGCGCCUGAAGGCCAAGAGCGUUUAGGCGGGAACGGUUGAGAAAUAGGGCAUAACUUCUAUGUGAAGUGGGGCAUAACUUCCAUGUGAAGUGGGACGUAACUCCCAUGAGAAGUGGGGCGUAACUUCUACGAUCAUGGUUACAACCACUCCCCCAACCAACCAAUAAUGUGGAUUGAUGUUACUAUAAAUAGUAAUUUCAAAGCCUGCAAUAGAGGUCUUUCUCCCCCCUGAACGAGAAGACCACCCUAUUUUUCUUGCAAUUUUAUCGCUUUUCUAGGAGUAGUCUAAAUGUAAUAUUUUCUUUUUCGCAUUUUUGUUUCCUGGAGUGUUUUUAAGUGACCCUAACAGUAUGUCUGCGUCAGGCAUCCCCUUGUAAACAAAAUAUAUAUUUUAAGUUGUAUGCCUUGGGACUCUGUUUUAUUAUUAUAUAUAUAUAUUAUAUAUUAUUAUAUAUAUUAUAAUAUAUAUAUAUAUAUAUUAUUAUAUAUUAUAUAUAUUAUUUUCAGGCCAUUCGCUCUUUCGCGCCGUAUUAUGUACUUUUUUCGGCUCUUCUGCGACUUGAUCCUGCCAGGUUCAUUUCGGUUGCCAGGCGAACGUUUUUACGAGUAGUUUGGUUCGACGGUGAUCCGAUCCGUACAGCCGAAUUCGCAUUGAUGUCGAAGGGCGAAAUUCGAGGGUGCUAUUUGCGCCGUUUGUAUCGCAGUUGGUUCCGAGGGGUCUUUGGAUGAGUCAAGGGUGGUAAAUCGGUACAUGAUUUCUGGCCGCCAGUGGGAUCGUUUUAGGUACAUACUUUAUUUAUUGAAUUAGACUUAUGAUAUGCCAUGAAUUUUGGCAAUAGUGUUGUUCUAGACCUUCUGGAGUAUACUAGUAAUUUUAGACAAUGUGCGAAUGUCAAGCGUUUUGCAGUGAGAAGAAUAUGUGCAACGGUGGCUUUCAAGGCGGUUAAUCAGGACUCGCUAGUGAGCCGAAGUCCUGCAACUUUAUGAUCAAUAUCCAUCAAGUUACGCUCCACUAGACACGUUGACUGGCGACAUCAGCGGCAUACAAAUGAAAUAUGUUCGAUCUUUACUUAUUGGUCGGAGUGGCGCCGUGGCAGGCAUCAACGCCACUGUGGUGGACUGGUAUUUUACAAAAUCUUGUAAUCACGUAAAUGUCAGCCCCUACCAGGGGAGCAACAUAUCAAGCAGUUUAUAGUAUCGGCUGUUGUUAAUGCCAGGUUCAACACAAGUAGAUGGGGGUUACCACUCCUCCACCCAUCCCAGAUAUCAGCCCAAAAUGUAUGGAGGCUAGGCUGGGAGGCGGCCCCGAAUGGCCAAGGCGUGUGACUUUUGAUACAAUUCAGACAUAAGGCCCGAUUGCAGCAAACAAGUCUUGCAGGUAUUCAUAUGAAUAUGAUGCCAGAUCAGGAAGCUAUCCGGAACUUUCGGAGUAGGGGCACAAGGCGGGAAUGAGCUCUUUUUAGAUCCGAUAGCUGGGAUAUUGAGAGGAUCCUUAUCGGAAUGGAAGAUGGAAUUGACAAUUUUCACGGUGAUGAGGACCAAACGCGGCUCGAAUGUGCGCGUUUAGUGCAAUGAGAGGCCGCUGCAGAUACCGUUUUUAACUUCGAUUAUUUAAACGUCGUUAACUAAACGGCGUUUAUUGGUUAUACAAGUUUAUGGGCAUUCGUUCAGAUGGGAACGAAUUGAAAAUAUUUUCAUGCCAGCAUUUUAUAGAUGGAGCCUAUUAUCAGAGAUUGCGACUUACUUUAUAUACCGCAAAAAGUCAGUGAACGAGUCGUAGGUAUUUGACAUUUAAAUAGCGAAAAUCAAUGUUUAUGAGAGAUGCCGGAUCAGAUUCGCAUAAUGACGUUAAAAUGGUUUUAUAUUUAAGAUAAUAGCUCAUUUGGAGAUAGGUAUUUUUCUAUAUUUGAUCUAAGUGUUAGAGUUGCCCAUAGAUCACUUUUAAAAAGUGAGGACGAUCGGCUGCAAUGGAGCCGAUAUAAAAAUCAAAGCAAAGGUAAGGAAAAAUCCUUACUAGAAGAACAGUCGGUUCAAAAAGAGCCGAGCCAAUCAAGUAAAAGUGAAGAAUCGGUUGAAGAAGCCGAGGUAUAUAUGGCUGGUAAAGAGCCACUUUCUUCAAGGAGAAAUCCUUAAUAGAAGAACAUUCGGUUCAAGAAGAGCCGAAUCAAUCGAGUAAAAGUAAGAAUCGGCUGAUAGAGCCGAGGUAUAUGCAGCUGGGAUGAUAAAGAGUCGUUUUCUUUAAGCCGACCAAGACCAGCGAAACUAAAGCUUGGGUCUCGGCUAUACUAUUGAGCAGUCGAUUUAACACCAAUAGUCAUCCGAAUGUUUGUUCGAAAGACUAUUGAGGGGGCAUUGUUGAUGCCAAAUUUGAAAUGAACAUGCCGACCUAGCCCACGUAUGAGCCGAAGAAAUAAGGACACGUGAUACACCAGGAGUCGGCAAUAAGGCGCCUGAAGGCCAAGAGCGUUUAGGCGGGAACGGUUGAGAAAUAGGGCGUAACUUCUUAUGUGAAGUGGGGUAUAACUUCCAUAUGAAGUGGAACGUAACUUCCAUGAGAAGUGAGGCGUAACUUUCACGAUCAUGGUUACAACCACUCCCCAACCAACCAAUAAUGUGGGUUGAUGUUACUAUAAAUAGUAAUUUCAAAGCCUGCAAUAGAGGUCUUUCUCCCCCUUAAACGAGAAAACCACCAUAUUUUUCUUGCAAUUUUAUCGCUUUUCUUAGAGUAGUCUAAAUGUAAUUUUUUCUUUUUCGCAUUUACUGCUUUUCUAGGAGUAGUUUUUAAGUAGAACCCUGGAGUCUGUCUGCCCCACGGGCAUCACUCCGUUGUAAACUACAUAUUUGUAGAGUCUGUAUGCCCUUCGAGCACACUCUGUUUUAUAUAUAUAUAUAUAUAUAUAUAUAUAUAUAUAUAUAUAUAUAUAUGCAUUCGGCUCUUUCAACCGACCAGUCAUUAUAUAUUUUUUUCAUUCGGCUCUUUUGCCAACAUUGAUUCCUGCACAGUUCACACAUUCGGCUCCUCCAGCCGAAUCGAUUCUAUAGGACUGAUCUUCGAACCCGGCUGAACCGAUCCCUCGUCAGCCGAAUCGCUUGAUCUGUCGAAGGGCGCAAACUUCGAGAGUCACUAUUCGCAGCCGUUUCGCUUUCGGACGCGCUUCCCGAGAAGAAUCUUUGACUAGGUCAAGGGUCAGAAAAUACGGCUACCAACAAUAGCAUUCACCUAAUUGUAUCAAUUGGAAAUAAUUACUUUGCCACGCAAACAAUGAGAAAAUGCAAAAAAUAAAGCAAGUGAUAUAUUUUUCUGUUUAAACAAUACUCUCUGUAUGUGAAGUGAAGGUCCACUGCAGCUUCCAAACGGGUCAGGCAGCAGAACUUUUUAGUAGGGGAAAGUGUAGGACAGAAUACAUUCCCCUGGAAUACGAGUAGGCUGCCUCACACAUUCCGCGUGUGAGUGAAUGAAUAUAUACUCUCCGCAAUAUGGACAGCUCUUUACAGCUACGAUAUUAAUUGAUGGGCACAAGAACAAAAAAUAAUAAUAAAAAAAAAGGCCAUACCGAAGUACAUCCAAGCCCCGUUAUACCGCGAGUCCGCGGCCAACAAGCUCACGACCGAAAGAAACCAAAAAAUAUAUAUUAUACAUAUAUAAAAAAAAUAAAAAAAAAAGAAUCAAAAUAAUAAAAUUUCAUUGUGCCUAUACUUUACGAGGGAGGGUCGGAUCGGAUGGAAUCCCCCAAUCGAGUGCCGAAACCCGGACCCGCCAAACCCUGACCUCCCCAUCCAGGCUGGCGCUGCACACCCGAUACUCCUCCUCCGGCGGCGGCGUUCGGACUGCCGUAAUCGACCUGACGGCACUCGAGUGCCCGAUCAGCACCCCGAGGCAGCCGUGCUCGCUCCCGCCCCUCCGCCAAAUCCUCACCGUCCGAUCCGCGGAGCCGCUGAAGACGACGUUUCCGACGCAGGCGACGCACAGCACCGCCUUCUCGUGGCCCCGCAGCGCCCCCACCGCGGCCAUGCGGCCGCCCUCCUUCUCCCAGACCAAGAUCGACCUGUCGUUGGACCCCGAGUACAGCACCGCCCCCGCCUCGUCGCCGCCGCCGCCGCCGAUGGCCAGCGCGUUCACGGCCGACGCGUGCCGCUCCAACGUCGCCACCAGCGCGUGCCGCCGCUCCCCGCGCGCCCAGACUCGGAUGCUCCCGUCGGCCGACCCCGUGAAGACCUCCCCGUCGGGGGCGACGGCGACGGCGUUGACUGCGUCGUCGUGCGCCGCGAGGGACUCGACGCAGCGGAGGUCGGCGGCGCGCCAGAUCUUGAGGGUCUUGUCCCAGGAGGAGGAGUAGAGCAGGUCGCCGGCGGCCGCGGCGGCGACGGCGGAGACGGCGUCGGCGUGCUCGAUCCAGAGGCGGCGGCGGUGGCGGCGGACGCGGACGUAGCUGCCGGGGAGGGGGAGGCGGCGGACGCGGUCGGGCACGGUGGGGAGGGCGGCGGCCAGGCGGAGGCGGCCGGAGCGGCCGGAGCGGCGCCACACGCGGACUCGGCCGUCCUGGUGGGCGGUGAGGGCGCGGCGGCCGUCGGGGAGGAGCGCGACGGAUUUGAGCGCCCCCGCCGAGGGGGAGGCGGCGACGGUCUGGAUCGGGCGGAGGCCGCGGAGGUCGUAGAUGCAGAUCUCCGACGGAGUGGCGCAGUAGAGGAGGAGGGAGGCGGGGGAGGAGGCCAGAGCGGCGGCGGCACUGACGGCUGAUGCUGAUGCUGAUGCUGAUGCUGAUGAUGAGGGGCCGACGGCCGGUCGGAGAGAAGUGAGGUACGCGAAGGAGGCAGACGAGGGAGAGCAGGAAGAACAAGAAGAAGGAAUCAGGGAUGAUCGGAGGGAAGGAAGGGAGGGGCAGGUGAGGAGCGAGGCGGAGUCGUCGUCGUCGGAUGCGGCCAGAGGAAGGGAGCGGAGGGAGGAAGAAGGAUCGGCGGCGAGUUCAGCGAUCGCGUCGGCGCGCUUAGCAGCAGCGGAGGGAGCAGAGAAGGGGAGGCAGGCGCGGGGAAGCGGCAUCGGGGAGAAGAGGAGGGAAGAGAUUAAUAUUGGGAAGAGUACUACUGGAGGGAGGGAGGUAGAGCGCGAAAUGAGGGGAGGACGGUGUAGUAUAGUUGCGUUUAUGGACAAGUACAGGAGAAUAAAAGGAUUAACUUAUUGACACGUGGCGGAAUGUGAGAGGGUGAGAAGGAGAAUUCAAGCGAUAUGAUUGGUCCGAGGUUGGGCGUCGGUCGGGGAACGAGAAAGGUGAGCGGAGAGCAUCCGUGAGCAUGAGUUUUAGAACAUAUGCCUGCACCCGCACCAUUAUUCAACCCUAGUCCUCAUUCAAUCUAUCUAACGAGCAGAAUUUUCAGAUUUUUGAAAAAAUCGUAAAUAGUUCUCCACCUUUGGUUGUCCCGCUAACAUGGAGACACUAAUUAAAAAUAUAUAUAUUAGAAUAUACGAAAAGCCUAAAAAUCAGAUAACCAAUUUAAAUAUUUUAUUCAUUAUUAAUUAUUAUUAUUUUGUUUUUACUUUCAUUUCAUUAUCUUGAAAGUGAUGAAAAAUAAUUUACACUUUUAGGCCCCGUUUGGAUAUCCCUAAAAACGUUUUAUGCUAUAUCGGUAGGAAAAUAAUCCUAUGAAGCAUUUGGAUGAAAAAAAAAUGGAGUAAUUUUUUGAUUAUACUAUACUCCAAAAAAUAGAGUAAAAUUACAAUCCACUUUAAACAAAGAAAAACAAAUUCCACCAUUUUGAACUCCCUUACCUCAAAGAUGUAUCAAGUUCUAAAUAUUAAGUUUCAAUAUAAAAUUUUAAAUUUCAAUCUAAAAUUUAAUAGAUAAUUUCUGAUUUCAAUAAUUUUUAAAAUUUUAAAUUUAAAUUAAAAUUAAAUACUUUAAAAUUAAAAUUUAAAAAAUUUAAAACAUUUAACGAAUUUACAAAUUUGAAAUUUAAAAUUUCAUUUUAAUUUUUUAAUUUUCCAAUUUCAAAGAUUUAAAUUUAAAUUUUAAAUUUUCAAUUUUUAAAUUCAACUUAAAUUUUAAAAUUAUAAAUAUGUAAAUUUAUAAAUUUUUAUUUUUAAAUUUAAAUCUCAAAAUUUAAAAUAUAGAUUUUAAUUUAAAAUUUACAAAUUUUAAAUUUUAAUUUUACAUUCAAUUUCCAAAUUUUAAUUUAAAUAUUUAAAUUUAAAAUUUAAAAUUUAAAAUUUAGAAAUUAGAAUAUUUAUAAUUUUAAAUUUAAUAUCAAAUUUAUAAACUUUUAAUUCUAAUUAAUUAAAUGAGAACCUCUUAUUUAAAAUUUUAAUUUGAAAUUUAAAAUUUAUAAUUUUUAAUUUAUUAAAAUUCAAUUUUCAAUAUUUCAAAUUCAAUAUCGAAAUGUUAAAUUUCAAUUUUAUACUUGAAAUUCAUAUUUACAAUCUCCUAUUNNNNNNNNNNNNNNNNNNNNNNNNNAUAGAGUAUCUAAGUAUUUAAAUACUUAACAUUAGAAGGUUUAAGUAGUUACAGAGUUUUAGUUAUAGAGUUUAGUCAGUAGUUUAAUAACUAAGUAAAGUAUAGAUAUGUUGCCUUAAGAGAGAUGUAUUUAUAGUUAAAAUAUAUUAAGUAAUAAGAAAGAUAGAGAGAUAAAGUAUAAGAGCAGACUUAAAUGAUAAUUUAUAGUAAAAGUUAAGAAUUUAGUAGUAUUAAGUAUUUCAGCUCAAUUAGAUAAAUAGAAUAGUUUAGAGUUGUUAAAUAGAGAAAAGAAAGUUAUUAGUCAGUAGAGAUAGUGAGUAGUAUUUAUUUUACGUAUUAAAAUUAAAUUAUAAGUAUAAGAAGGGAGUUUUUUUUAGAUAUAGUUAAUUCAGAAAUAGUAAUCUACAUAUUAAAAGAUUUAGUACAUUUAGUAGUUUAUGAUAAUAUAUAGUUAAGAGAGUAAACUUAGACAAGAGAUAUAGAUAAGAUGCAGAUCUCGACGGAGUGGGCAGUAGAGGAGGAGGGAGGCGGGGAGGAGGCCAGAGCGGCGGCGGCGCUGAAGGCUGAUGUGAUGCUGUGUGAUGCUGAUAUAUGAGGGGCGACGGCCGUCGGAGAGAAGUGAGGUACGCGAAGGAGGCAGACGAGGGAGAGCAGGAAGACAAGAAGAAGGAAUCAGGGAUGAUGGAGGGAAGGAAGGAGGGCAGGAUGAGAGCGAGGCGGAGUCGUCGUCGUCGUCGUCGUCGGAGGAUGCGGCCAGAGAAGGGAGCGGAGGGAGGAAGAAGGAUCGGCGGCGAGUUCAGCGAUCGCGUCGCCGCGCUUGCAGCAGCGGAGGGAGCGGAGAAGGGGAG